rnacentral:rRNA from 1 species
GACGAACGCUGGCGGCGUGCCUAAUACAUGCAAGUUGAGCGCUGAAGGUUGGUACUUGUUCCAACUGGAUGAGCAGCGAACGGGUGAGUAACGCGUGGGGAAUCUGCCUUUGAGCGGGGGACAACAUUUGGAAACGAAUGCUAAUACCGCAUAAAAACUUUAAACACAAGUUUUAAGUUUGAAAGAUGCAAUUGCACCACUCAAAGAUGAUCCCGCGUUGUAUUAGCUAGUUGGUGAGGUAAAGGCUCACCAAGGCGAUGAUACAUAGCCGACCUGAGAGGGUGAUCGGCCACAUUGGGACUGAGACACGGCCCAAACUCCUACGGGAGGCAGCAGGAGGGAAUCUUCGGCAAUGGACGAAAGUCUGACCGAGCAACGCCGCGGGAGUGAAGAAGGGUUUCGGAUCGUAAAACUCUGUUGGUAGAGAAGAACGUUGGUGAGAGUGGAAAGCUCAUCAAGUGACGGUAACUACCCAGAAAGGGACGGCUAACUACGUG